rnacentral:rRNA from 1 species
AAACGUUAGGGGAUCGAAGAUGAUCAGAUACCGUCGUAGUCUUAACCAUAAACUAUGCCGACAUAGGGAUCGGGCGUUGUUCUUUUUAUGACUCGCUCGGCACCUUACGAGAAAUCAAAGUUUUUGGGUUCUGGGGGGAGUAUGGUCGCAAGGCUGAAACUUAAAGGAAUUGACGGAAGGGCACCACCAGGAGUGGAGCCUGCGGCUUAAUUUGACUCAACACGGGAAAUCUCACCAGGUCCAGACACAAUAAGGAUUGACAGAUUGAGAGCUCUUUCUUGAUUUUGUGGGUGGUGGUGCAUGGCCGUUCUUAGUUGGUGGAGUGAUUUGUCUGCUUAAUUGCGAUAACGAACGAGACCUUAACCUACUAAAUAGUGCUGUUAGCUUCGGCUGAACUGGCACUUCUUAGAGGGACUAUCGAUUUCAAGUCGAUGGAAGUUUGAGGCAAUAACAGGUCUGUGAUGCCCUUAGACGUUCUGGGCCGCACGCGCGCUACACUGACGGAGCCAGCAAGUACUAUCCUUGGCCGAAAGGUCCGGGUAAUCUCGUGAAACUCCGUCGUGCUGGGGAUAGAGCAUUGAAAUUAUUGCUCUUCAACGAGGAAUUCCUAG